rnacentral:misc_RNA from 1 species
UCCGGUUUGUCACCGGCAGUCUCGCAUGAGUCCCCAACUAAAUGCUGGCAACAUGCGACGGGGGUUGCGCUCGUUGCGGGACUUAACCCAACACCUCACGGCACGAGCUGACGACAGCCAUGCAGCACCUGUACUAGCUCCCCGAAGGGUCCUUUGUCUUUCGACUCCGUACCACUAGCAUGUCAAGCCUUGGUAAGGUUCUUCGCGUUGCAUCGAAUUAAACCACACGCUCCACCGCUUGUGCGGGUCCCCGUCAAUUCCUUUGAGUUUUAAUCUUGCGACCGUACUCCCCAGGCGGGAUGCUUAACGCGUUAGCUACGCCACCGAGGGGGAACCCCCCGACGGCUAGCAUCCAUCGUUUAGGGCUAGGACUAC